rnacentral:rRNA from 1 species
GUCGUCAGCUCGUGUCGUGAGAUGUUGGGUUAAGUCCCGCAACGAGCGCAACCCCUACGUUUAGUUGCUAACGCGUGAAGGCGAGCACUCUAGACGAACUGCCGUUGACAAAACGGAGGAAGGUGGGGAUGACGUCAAAUCAUCAUGCCCCUUAUGUUCUGGGCUACACACGUGCUACAAUGGCAGGUACAGAGGGCUGCGAAGCCGCGAGGUGGAGCGAAUCCCAGAAACCUGUCUCAGUCCGGAUUGAAGUCUGCAACUCGACUUCAUGAAGGCGGAAUCGCUAGUAACCGUGAAUCAGCAGGUCGCGGUGAAUACGUUCCCGGGCCUU